rnacentral:rRNA from 1 species
GACGUAGGGCGCGAGCGUUGUCCGGAAUUAUUGGGCGUAAAGAGCUCGUAGGCGGUCUGUCGCGUCGGAUGUGAAAACCCAGGGCUCAACCCUGGGCCUGCAUUCGAUACGGGCAGACUAGAGUUCGGUAGGGGAGACUGGAAUUCCUGGUGUAGCGGUGAAAUGCGCAGAUAUCAGGAGGAACACCGGUGGCGAAGGCGGGUCUCUGGGCCGAAACUGACGCUGAGGAGCGAAAGCGUGGGGAGCAAACAGG